GACGAACGCUGGCGGCGUGCUUAACACAUGCAAGUCGAACGGAAAGGCCCUGCUUUUGUGGGGUGCUCGAGGGGCGAACGGGUGAGUAACACGUGAGUAACCUGCCCUUGACUUUGGGAUAACUUCAGGAAACUGGGGCUAAUACCGGAUAGGAGCUCCUGCUGCAUGGUGGGGGUUGGAAAGUUUCGGCGGGUGGGGAUGGACUCGCGGCUUAUCAGCUUGUUGGUGGGGUAGUGGCUUACCAAGGCUUUGACGGGUAGCCGGCCCGAGAGGGUGACCGGCCACAUUGGGACUGAGAUACGGCCCAGACUCCUACGGGAGGCAGCAGUGGGGAAUAUUGCACAAUGGGCGGAAGCCUGAUGCAGCAACGCCGCGUGCGGGAUGACGGCCUUCGGGUUGUAAACCGCUUUCGCCUGUGACGAAGCGUGAGUGACGGUAAUGGGUAAAGAAGCACCGGCUAACUACGUG
rnacentral:rRNA from 1 species